AGCGAACGCUGGCGGCAGGCCUAACACAUGCAAGUCGAACGGCUCUUCGGAGCAGUGGCGGACGGGUGAGUAACGCGUGGGAACGUGCCCUUUGGUUCGGAACAACACAGGGAAACUUGUGCUAAUACCGGAUGUGCCCUUCGGGGGAAAGAUUUAUCGCCAUUGGAGCGGCCCGCGUUGGAUUAGGUAGUUGGUGGGGUAAAGGCCCACCAAGCCGACGAUCCAUAGCUGGUCUGAGAGGAUGAUCAGCCACACUGGGACUGAGACACGGCCCAGACUCCUACGGGAGGCAGCAGUGGGGAAUCUUGCGCAAUGGGCGAGAGCCUGACGCAGCCAUGCCGCGUGAAUGAUGAAGGUCUUAGAAUUGUAAAAUUCUUUCACCGGGGAAGAUAAUGACGGUACCCGGAGAAGAAGCCCCGGCUAACUUCGUGCCAGCCGCCGCAGUAAAAC
rnacentral:rRNA from 1 species